CGAUCCUCGAUGCUGUUGUCUUUUGGCCGGCCACAGUAACAAACGUCUCUUCAACUCGUGAUUUACUUAAGGCAUGUAAUUAGACGAAGAAAUUUGGCGUAUUGAUCUUUAUUCUUCUUAGGAAAAGACAUCUCAACUUGAGAAGGAGAUAUUAUCUUGAUCAUAACUGCUAAAAGUUCUAUCAAAACGACACACGAGAUGUGUUUCAAACUAAACUUGUUAUUCAUAUUGGAUGUCUUCAGUUUGUUUAGCAUGUGGUACUUAUAUCCUUCAAUAGCAGAUUCGUCUCUUCAUUUUCCUCAGGGGCUUAAAAAUUGUGACCGUCUGUAUGACCAUGGUCCUUGCUUUUCGGAGGACAUGAGAAUCAAUGGAUCUUUUUAUUGGAGAUAUUGGUUUGACGCGUAUGAGACGUUGGAUUGUAAGCGUUUUGAGUACGGGGGUUGCGGAGGAAAUGGAAAUAAUUAUGUAACUUCACAAGAAUGCUAUAAUGAAUGCUAUAAUAAAUACUUUAUACGUCGGCAACAACAUUUCGAUAGAGAAAGACAAAAUUACAACAUUCGAAGAGGAAAUUACAACCGUCGAAGAAGAAUUACGGAUCUUUAAAACAUAAAAUUUUUGAGGAUAUCUCAUAUAUUGAUAUAUAUUUGUAACAGUUUAAUAUUGAAUUUCAAUAGAAGUACUAAAUGAAAGACUCUGUGAAGUCUUUAUAAAAUACUUGUAAAAUUGUUUUAUUUUUACAAUAAUUGACUGUAAUAAAAUGAAAUGUACGGAUAUGUA